GCGGUGGUGGCGCAGCGGAAGAGUGCGCAGUCCAUGUCUAGAGAGGCUUUGGCCCUCUAUGCGGCUGUUCCCAGGUUCGAGUUCUGACCACGGCG